rnacentral:rRNA from 1 species
UACGUAGGGGGCGAGCGUUGUCCGGAUUUAUUGGGCGUAAAGCGCUCGCAGGUGGUCCGUCGCGUCGUGCGUGAAAGCCCCCGGCUCAACUGGGGAGUGUCGUGCGAUACGGGCGGACUGGAGGCCAGUAGGGGGAUGCGGAAUUCCGGGUGUAGUGGUGGAAUGCGUAGAGAUCCGGAGGAACACCAGCGGCGAAGGCGGCAUCCUGGACUGGUCCUGACACUCAUGAGCGAAAGCGUGGGGAGCGAUCCGG